CUUAUCGGUGUGCUGAUUACAGUUAGUUUCGUGACAUGUGUCAAAAUUUCCCGCCAAAUGUCAAAUAACAGUGAUGUUAAAAAAUGAUUUGUUCUCCAGUUUCAAGAUGAUUUCUGGCAUUUUCAAGUUCAGUGAAGCAAGUCUCAGACAGGUUUCAAGGAUAGUACAAGGAAUGGAAGAUAAACGUGCAAGACUGACUAGUAGACAGCAAGAUUAUGCAAAACUUUGGAGGUCUUCUCCAAAACAGUGGAAUGG